rnacentral:rRNA from 1 species
GACGAACGCUGGCGGCGUGCUUAACACAUGCAAGUCGAACGGAAAGGCCCUGCUUUUGUGGGGUGCUCGAGUGGCGAACGGGUGAGUAACACGUGAGUAACCUGCCCUUGACUUUGGGAUAACUUCAGGAAACUGGGGCUAAUACCGGAUAGGAGCUCCUGCUGCAUGGUGGGGGUUGGAAAGUUUCGGCGGGUGGGGAUGGACUCGCGGCUUAUCAGCUUGUUGGUGGGGUAGUGGCAUACCAAGGGUUUGACGGGUAGCCGGCCUGGGAGGGUGACCGGCCACAUUGGGACUGAGAUACGGCCCAGACUCCUACGGGAGGCAGAAGUGGGGAGUAUUGCACAAUGGGCGGAAGCCUGAUGCAGCAACGCCGCGUGCGGGAUGACGGCCUUCGGGUUGUAAACCGCUUUCGCCUGUGACGAAGCGUGAGUGACGGUAAUGGGUAAAGAAGCACCGGCUAACUACGUG